CCUACGGGAGGCAGCAGUGAGGAAUAUUGGUCAAUGGGCGGAAGCCUGAACCAGCCAAGUAGCGUGCAGGAUGACGGCCCUACGGGUUGUAAACUGCUUUUAUACGGGAAUAACGCGCCUUACGUGUAGGGCUUUGCAUGUACCGUAUGAAUAAGGACCGGCUAAUUCCGUGCCAGCAGCCGCGGUAAUACGGAAGGUCCGGGCGUUAUCCGGAUUUAUUGGGUUUAAGGGGAGCGUAGGCCGCAUGUCAAGCGUGCUGUGAAAUGUUCGGGCUCAACCCGGACCUUGCAGGGCGAACUGGCGGAAUUGAGUACGCGGAAGGCAGGCGGAAUUCGUGGUGUAGCGGUGAAAUGCUUAGAUAUGACGAAGAACCCCGAUUGCGAAGGCAGCUUGCUGCAGCGGAACUGACGCUGAUGCUCGAAAGCGCGGGUAUCAAACAGGAUUAGAUACCCCUGUAGUC
rnacentral:rRNA from 1 species